rnacentral:rRNA from 1 species
AUUGAACGCUGGCGGCAGGCCUAACACAUGCAAGUCGAACGGUAACAGGAAGCAGCUUGCUGCUUCGCUGACGAGUGGCGGACGGGUGAGUAAUGUCUGGGAAACUGCCUGAUGGAGGGGGAUAACUACUGGAAACGGUAGCUAAUACCGCAUAACGUCGCAAGACCAAAGAGGGGGACCUUAGGGCCUCUUGCCAUCGGAUGUGCCCAGAUGGGAUUAGCUAGUAGGUGGGGUAACGGCUCACCUAGGCGACGAUCCCUAGCUGGUCUGAGAGGAUGACCAGCCACACUGGAACUGAGACACGGUCCAGACUCCUACGGGAGGCAGCAGUGUGGAAUAUUGCACAAUGGGCGCAAGCCUGAUGCAGCCAUGCCGCGUGUAUGAAGAAGGCCUUCGGGUUGUAAAGUACUUUCAGCGGGGAGGAAGGGAGUAAAGUUAAUACCUUUGCUCAUUGACGUUACCCGCAGAAGAAGCACCGGCUAACUCCGUG